GCAUAUUUGGGCUUCUAAUUGUGGGAAGUUUAGGCCAAUUUAUAGCUGAAUCAGAUCGUAAUCAAAUCCCUGAUUCUCCUACCGACAAAAUUUGGUAAAGAAAAUAGUACAAGAAUGGAAGCAAUGUAAAUCCCACUAAAGGUAGAUCUUGUUUGGAGGGCACAGCAUUGAUGUACAGUUUUUAAAAAAUGGCUGUCCCACAUUUCUCCCAGCAGUAAAACAGAGUGUCAACAGGUGCUAUCAGUACUUCCCACCGCCCAUGAAGUCAAAUAUCAGGCGGUGUGCAAUGAGGACACUGACCUCCAAAGGGUUUGGAUUGUGAGAUGCCACAUCGGCUGAAAAGAAGAGCGAAGCAUUUUUCUUUUAACCUUGAAAGGAAACUCGAAAGAAAAAUCUCAAAUAGAACAAUAUCUACAGUAGACUUGUGAAUCACAUUAUAUUAUGCUUCUAUCCAAUCAUAAAUAGAACCUUAUGCAUUGAAAAAAUUAAAAAAUCGACUAUAUAAUACAAGGAAGAUGGUCAGUGAAACUAGUUUCAACUAUUUUAAACUGAUAGGUCAAAUCAAGAGAGAUGCACCUAAAUAGACCCACUAACAUGCUAACAAGGCAUGAAGCCAAUCCCCAACUUCAGGAAACAUCACUGUCUUAAAACCUUCAAUUUAUCUGAACACAACUCUCAUUCAUUGCAUCACCUGCGAGCAUUAAAAGCCUUAUUCAUUAAACAACGCAUGGAUACAUCCACAUCAUGCCUUCAAACUGAAAGAUAUUGUCUCCCUCUCUGUGCUGUAGUGGAAGGGAUUACAGUAACCAUUAUUCAGAGUUCAUCACAGAGUUCCAAGUCCUCUCUCCAAAUACUUAUUUGAUUCUCAACCAAAUAUUUCUACACUGUAUAUCAUUGCAUGAAUUGCCAAAAAUUUCAGGUGUUAUAACCCUGUUAGGUCUGCGAAAGAAAAAA